rnacentral:rRNA from 1 species
GAUGAACGCUGGCGGCGUGCCUAAUACAUGCAAGUCGAGCGAACGGACGAGAAGCUUGCUUCUCUGAUGUUAGCGGCGGACGGGUGAGUAACACGUGGAUAACCUACCUAUAAGACUGGGAUAACUUCGGGAAACCGGAGCUAAUACCGGAUAAUAUUUCGAACCGCAUGGUUCAAAAGUGAAAGACGGUCUUGCUGUCACUUAUAGAUGGAUCCGCGCUGCAUUAGCUAGUUGGUAAGGUAACGGCUUACCAAGGCAACGAUGCAUAGCCGACCUGAGAGGGUGGUCGGCCACACUGGAACUGAGACACGGUCCAGACUCCUACGGGAGGCAGCAGUAGGGAAUCUUCCGCAAUGGGCGAAAGCCUGACGGAGCAACGCCGCGUGAGUGAUGAAGGUCUUCGGAUCGUAAAACUCUGUUAUUAGGGAAGAACAUAUGUGUAAGUAACUGUGCACAUCUUGACGGUACCUAAUCAGAAAGCCACGGCUAACUACGUGCCAGCAGCCGCGGUAAUACGUAGGUGGCAAGCGUUAUCCGGAAUUAUUGGGCGUAAAGCGCGCGUAGGCGGUUUUUUAAGUCUGAUGUGAAAGCCCACGGCUCAACCGUGGAGGGUCAUUGGAAACUGGAAAACUUGAGUGCAGAAGAGGAAAGUGGAAUUCCAUGUGUAGCGGUGAAAUGCGCAGAGAUAUGGAGGAACACCAGUGGCGAAGGCGACUUUCUGGUCUGUAACUGACGCUGAUGUGCGAAAGCGUGGGGAUCAAACAGGAUUAGAUACCCUGGUAGUCCACGCCGUAAACGAUGAGUGCUAAGUGUUAGGGGGUUUCCGCCCCUUAGUGCUGCAGCUAACGCAUUAAGCACUCCGCCUGGGGAGUACGACCGCAAGGUUGAAACUCAAAGGAAUUGACGGGGACCCGCACAAGCGGUGGAGCAUGUGGUUUAAUUCGAAGCAACGCGAAGAACCUUACCAAAUCUUGACAUCCUUUGACAACUCUAGAGAUAGAGCUUUCCCCUUCGGGGGACAAAGUGACAGGUGGUGCAUGGUUGUCGUCAGCUCGUGUCGUGAGAUGUUGGGUUAAGUCCCGCAACGAGCGCAACCCUUAAGCUUAGUUGCCAUCAUUAAGUUGGGCACUCUAAGUUGACUGCCGGUGACAAACCGGAGGAAGGUGGGGAUGACGUCAAAUCAUCAUGCCCCUUAUGAUUUGGGCUACACACGUGCUACAAUGGACAAUACAAAGGGCAGCGAAACCGCGAGGUCAAGCAAAUCCCAUAAAGUUGUUCUCAGUUCGGAUUGUAGUCUGCAACUCGACUACAUGAAGCUGGAAUCGCUAGUAAUCGUAGAUCAGCAUGCUACGGUGAAUACGUUCCCGGGUCU